GACGAACGCUGGCGGCGUGCUUAACACAUGCAAGUCGAACGGAAAGGCCCUGCUUGUGUGGGGUGCUCGAGUGGCGAACGGGUGAGUAACACGUGAGUAACCUGCCCUUGACUUUGGGAUAACUUCAGGAAACUGGGGCUAAUACCGGAUAGGAGCCCCUGCUGCAUGGUGGGGGUUGGAAAGUUUCGGCGGGUGGGGCUGGACUCGCGGCUUAUCAGCUUGUUGGUGGGGGAGUGGCUUACCAAGGCUUUGACGGGUAGCCGGCCUGAGAGGGUGACCGGCGACAUUGGUCCUGAGAUACGGCGCAGACUCCUACGUGGGGCAGCGGUGGGGAAUAUUGUCCAGUGGGAGGAAGCCUGAUGAGGCGACGCCGCGUGUGGGAAGACGGCCUUCGGGUUGUGAACCGCUUUCGGUUGUGACGAAGCGGUAGUGACGGUACUGGGUAAAGAAGCACCGGCUAACUACGUG
rnacentral:rRNA from 1 species